AUAUAUUUCUUGGCCUUUUGGCUAAGAUCUAGUAUCUGUUUAUUAGUUUAAUAUUUGAUACGUAGGCUAAUGGCUUACACGAUAUUAAAUUUAUUUUUUGAGUGUGAAAACCUUUCAUAGUAGCUUGCUUCAGGGGAGGAUCAAGCUUCAAUCGAGCUCAAAAUCGAAUUUAAUCGAGUUCGAGUCUCGAGCUUUAAUU